rnacentral:rRNA from 1 species
AAACUAACCAGGAUUCCCUCAGUAACUGCGAGUGAAGCGGGAAAAGCUCAGACUGAAAAUCUUCGGAAUUGUAGUCUGGAGAAGUAUGGUCAGCCGAUGGUGAUAAGUGAAGUCUUCUGGAAAGGAGCGCCUUGGAGGGUGAUAGCCCCGUUCAUACUUAUUACUAGAAGCGUACGACCUGCUUUCUACGAGUCGUGUUGUUUGGGACUGCAGCACUAAGUGGGUGGUAAAUUUCAUCUAAAGCUAAAUAUUGGUGGGAGACCGAUAGCGAACAAGUACCGUGAGGGAAAGAUGCAAAGAACUUUGAAAAGAGAGUUAAAUAGUACCUGAAAUUGCUGAAAUGGAACCGAUGGGAAGCAGUGUCGGUGGCGGGUAUUUAUACUUGUCACAAGCCAGGCUUCUUUUCUGGUGCGGGAAAGGCUGAUAAACCAGUUUGGGUUAUCUACGCCGUCGUGCUAGCGAAGGACUCUGACGAAAUGCUUCUCAUCACC